UUGCGGCUGAGGAUGUGUGAAAUAGCCAGAAGGCACGUCCAAUGGGACAAGUAUUUGCACUCUUGUGAUGUAACUACUACAAGAAUCUCAACAGCAAAACCAUUGAAAUCAAGGCACAUGGUCAAAUCAACAUGAUUUCAGAUCAGCGCAGAUGUUCACAGACCGUGAGGAAAGAUCUCCAGCACAGGGAUGAGGCACAAGGGACAAGUUUGCAAAAGCCUGCACAGGCAGCUCAUACUGCAGGAACCGUGAGAAAUGCUCGUCUCUCAGGG